AGGCCAAGAGGACCAAGAGAAACAAAGUGGAGCAGAUCACUGAUACAGAUGCAGGUCCCUCUACAUCUGUGGAAUUUUCUGGGAUGACAGUUAAGGGGACAUCUCACCAGGGACAAUCUAAUGAAAAGAUCCUAAGUGAGUGUGUCUCCAGGGUCUGUCAAACCAGGGCUCUUGACCUCCCGCCAAUCGAUCCGGAUGCUUUCAACCCGAUUAUCAUCCGGUUUCUGGAAAAACUUACUGAGGAGCAAUGGAGGCAGUUAAGCAUUGGCAGGAUGGACCCUGUGAUGAGGGCAUUGCUUGCAGAGAUGUGCCUGGAGAUUGUGCGGUUUGUAUCUGAGGCCAUCCUGGAGGUCAUCAUCCCUGCAAUUUUCCAUUUUGUACGGAUAUACAGUCAUGUGCCUCCAGUAUCCGGCAAGUCUCUGACAGAAUCAGAGAGAUCCUCUAGCACAAACCUGAAGGUUCGCAAGAGAGGCAGCAGCAAAUCCUCAAGGUCUUG